rnacentral:rRNA from 1 species
GGGGGGGGGUGGGGGGGGGCGGGGUGGAGGGGAGGGGGGGGGAGGGAGGAGGAGCUUGCGUCUCUGGUGUUAGCGGCGGGCGGGGGAGUAACAGGUGGAUAACCUACCUGUUAGAGUGGGAUAAGUUCGGGAACCAGGGGCUAAUACCGGAUAAUGUUUUGAACCGACUGUUUCAAGAGUGCAAGACGGUCUUUCUGUGACUUAUAGAUGGGUCCGCGCUGCGUUAUCUAGUUGGGAAGUUAACGGCUUACAAAGGCAACGAUGCUUCGCCGACCUGAGAGGGUGAUCGGCCACACUGAAACUGAAACACGGUCAGACUCCUACGGGAGGCAGCAGUAGGGAAUCUUCCGCAAUGGGCGAAAGCCUGACGGAGCAACGCCGCGUGAGUGAUGAAGGUCUUCGGAUCGUAAAACUCUGUUAUUAGGGAAGAACAUAUGUGUAAGUAACUGUGCACAUCUUGACGGUACCUAAUCAGAAAGCCACGGCUAACUACGUG